GAUGAACGCUGGCGGUCUGCUUAACACAUGCAAGUCGAACGGACACUUUCGGGAGUUGCUGGUGGACCGGUGAGUAAGGCCGGAGAAUUUGCACUUUGGAGGCGGAUAUCUGUUGGAAACGACAGCUAAUACCACAGGUGCCGAUAGGGAAAAAGUAAUUCGCCAACGGGUGUGCUUGCGUCGGAACAGCUAUUUGGUGGGGUAUGAGCCGACCAAGGCGACGGUCCGUAGCUGGUCUGAGAGGAUGACCAGCCACACUGGGACUGAGACACGGCGCAGACUCCUACGGGAGGCAGCAGUGGGGAAUUUUCCGCAAUGGGCGCAAGCCUGACGGAGCAAGACCGCGUGAGGGAAGACGGUCUGUGGAUUAUAAACCUCGUUUGACAGGGAAGAAGUACUGACGGUACCUGUCGAAUCAGCCUCGGCUAACUCCGUG
rnacentral:rRNA from 1 species